rnacentral:rRNA from 1 species
GACGAACGCUGGCGGCGUGCCUAAUACAUGCAAGUCGAACGCAGUGGGGACGGGUGAGUAACCCGUGGGUAACCUCCCAUCAGAGGGGAUAACACUUGGAAACCGGUGCUAAACCGAUACUGAUGGAUGGACCCGCGGUGCAUUAGCUAGUUGGUGAGGUAACGGCUCACCAAGGCCACGAUGCAUAGCCGCCCUGAGAGGGUGAGCGGCCAAACUGGGAGUGAGACACGGCCCGGAUUCCUACGGGAGGCAGCAGUAGGGAAUCUUCGGAAAGGGGCGAAAGUAUGACGGAGCAACGACGCGUGAAGGAAGAAGGUUGUAGGAUCGUAAAACUCUGUUAUUAGAGAGGCGGUAUCUAACCAGAAAGCCACGGCUAACUACGUGCCAGCAGCCGCGGUAAUAC